rnacentral:rRNA from 1 species
UACAGAGGGUGCAAGCGUUAAUCGGAUUUACUGGGCGUAAAGCGUGAGUAGGUGGCUCGCUAAGUCGGUUGUGAAAUCCCUGGGCUCAACCUGGGAAUUGCAGUCGAUACUGACGAGCUCGAGUUCGGUAGAGGGUGACGGAAUUCCCGGUGUAGCGGUGAAAUGCGUAGAUAUCAUUUGGAACGCCAAUGGUGAAAACAGGUAGCUGGGAGUGUGCUGACACUGAGACACGAAAGCCAGGGGAGCGAACGGG